GAUUGGUUAAUUAUAGUGGUUUGUUUUAAGAAAUCGUUAUGGACCUUAGUUCCGUUGCUUAGAAACCCUACUUUGAUCAAAGUUCUGGUUAAUGGAUUAUGUGAGAUCAACCAAUGAUUGUUUUAACAUAAGAAUAUUAAUAAGGUGGUAUGAUUAAAAGACCAAUCAUUGAAAAGGAAUUAACAUAGAAUGUACUUUUGUGUAAUCUAAUAUAUGAUGGCAAGUAUCGUACUGCGCAGAAUCACCUAAGAGAGGUCAAGAAGCGGACAAGUGAGGAAGACUGUGGAAGACCACCAGAGGGCUUCUGAAGACCACCAGAGACCUUCAAUGCGCUUGCGUAAAGGACAUUUACAUAUGUUAAUAGUUUCCCAGAAAACUAAUGAUUAUGUAUAACAUUUCUCGGAAAUCUAGUGAAUAUGUAUAACAGGAGUUUUAUUCCGGAUUUUGGCAACAGUUUUGGCACCCCAGAUGGGACCUUGCGAGUGAGACUGGACGAGAUCGAGUGUUGAUCGAACUCCGGCCGGCACCGAGGGAUUCUCGGGGGGAACCAUCGCUCUCGACUCACAAAGCUCCUCGCAACGUUCCCUG